rnacentral:rRNA from 1 species
CUCAGUUCGGAUUGAGUCUGCAACUCGACUCCAUGAAGCUGGAUUCGCUAGUAAUCGCGCAUCAGCCAUGGCGCGGUGAAUACGUUCCCGGGCCUUGUACACACCGCCCGUCAAGCCAUGGGAGUCGGGAGUGCCUGAAGUUCGUGACCGUAUAGGAGCGACCUAGGGCAAGACUGAUGACUGGGGCUAAGUCGUAACAAGGUACC